rnacentral:rRNA from 1 species
AACGGAGGGGAUGAGUGUUACUCAUAAAUACUGGGCGUAAAGCGCACGUAGGCGGCUCGAAAAGUCGGAUGUGAAAGCCCUGGGCUCAACCUAGGAAGUGCAUUCGAAACUGCCGAGCUUGAGUACGGGAGAGGGUUGCGGAAUUCCCGGUGUAGAGGUGAAAUUCGUAGAUAUCGGGAGGAACACCAGUGGCGAAGGCGGCAGCCUGGACCGAUACUGACGCUGAGGUGCGAAAGCGUGGGGAGCGAACAGG